CAGUAGCCGCGGGAAUACGUAGGGUGCGAGCGUUAAUCGGAAUUACUGGGCGUAAAGCGUGCGCAGGCGGUUAUGUAAGACAGAUGUGAAACCCCCGGGCUCAACCUGGGAACUGCAUUUGUGACUGCAUGGCUAGAGUACGGUAGAGGGGGAUGGAAUUCCGCGUGUAGCAGUGAAAUGCGUAGAUAUGCGGAGGAACACCGAUGGCGAAGGCAAUCCCCUGGACCUGUACUGACGCCCAUGCACGAAAGCGUGGGGAGCAAACAGGAUUAGAUACCCCGGUAGUCCCUGUCUCUUAUAC
rnacentral:rRNA from 1 species